rnacentral:rRNA from 1 species
AUUGAACGCUGGCGGCAGGCCUAACACAUGCAAGUCGAGCGAGCGGCGGACGGGUGAGUAAUAUCUGGGAAACUGCCUGAUGGAGGGGGAUAACAACUGGAGACGGUAGCUAAUACUGCAUACCAUCAGAUGUGCCCAGAUGGGAUUAGCUGGUAGGUGGGGUAACGGCGCACCUAGGCGACGAUCCCUAGCUGGUCUGAGAGGAUGACCAGCCACACGGGAACGGAGAAACGGCCAAGACUCCUAGGGGAGGAAGAGGUGGGAAAUUUUGGAAAAUGGGCGAAAGCCUGAUGCAGCCAUGCCGCGGGGGUGAAGAAGGCCUUCGGGUUGUAAAGCACGUUAAGCGGGGAGGCGUUACCCGAAGAAUAAGCACCGGCUAACUCCGUGCCAGCAGCCGCGGUAAUAC